AUUGAACGCUGGCGGAAUGCUUUACACAUGCAAGUCGAACGGCAGCACGGACUUCGGUCUGGUGGCGAGUGGCGAACGGGUGAGUAAUAUAUCGGAACGUGCCCAGUCGUGGGGGAUAACGUAGUGAAAAUUACGCUAAUACCGCAUACGAUCUAAGGAUGAAAGCGGGGGAUCGCAAGACCUCGCGCGAUUGGAGCGGCCGAUAUCAGAUUAGGUAGUUGGUGAGGUAAAGGCUCACCAAGCCAACGAUCUGUAGCUGGUCUGAGAGGACGACCAGCCACACUGGGACUGAGACACGGCCCAGACUCCUACGGGAGGCAGCAGUGGGGAAUAUUGGACAAUGGGCGAAAGCCUGAUCCAGCAAUGCCGCGUGAGUGAAGAAGGCCUCGGUUGUAAAGCUCUUUCAGGUGGAAAGGAAAUACGCACUUUCUAAUACAAGGUGUGGAUGACGGUACCGAUCAGAAGAAGCACCGGCUAAC
rnacentral:rRNA from 1 species